CUCUGAUCAGCCAUGCCGCGUGUAGGAAGACUGCCCUAUGGGUUGUAAACUACUUUUAUAGAGGAAGAAACGAUUUCACGUGUGGAAUUUUGACGGUACUCUACGAAUAAGGAUCGGCUAACUCCGUGCCAGCAGCCGCGGUAAUACGGAGGAUCCAAGCGUUAUCCGGAAUCAUUGGGUUUAAAGGGUCCGUAGGCGGGUUUGUAAGUCAGUGGUGAAAGUUUUCGGCUCAACCGGAAAAUUGCCAUUGAUACUGCAAGUCUUGAAUCAUUAUGAAGUGGUUAGAAUGUGUAGUGUAGCGGUGAAAUGCAUAGAUAUUACACAGAAUACCGAUUGCGAAGGCAG
rnacentral:rRNA from 1 species